UACAGAGGUCUCAAGCGUUGUUCGGAUUCCUUGGGCGUAAAGGGCGCGUAGGCGGCGGGGUAAGUCGGGUGUGAAAUCUCAGAGCUCAACUCUGAAAUGGCACUUGAUACUGCUCUGCUAGAGGACUGGAGAGGAGAUUGGAAUUCACGGUGUAGCAGUGAAAUGCGUAGAUAUCGUGAGGAAGACCGGUGGCGAAGGCGGAUCUCUGGACAGUUCCUGACGCUGAGGAGCGAAAGCGUGGGGAGCGAACAGG
rnacentral:rRNA from 1 species